rnacentral:rRNA from 1 species
CUAAGCAUAUCAAUAAGCGGAGGAAAAGAAACCAACAGGGAUUGCUCUAGUAACGGCGAGUGAAGCAGCAACAGCUCAAAUUUGAAAUCUGGCUCUUUUAGAGUCCGAGUUGUAAUUUGCAGAGGGCGCUUUGGCGUUGGCAGCGGUCCAAGUUCCUUGGAACAGGACGUCACAGAGGGUGAGAAUCCCGUACGUGGUCGCUGGCCUUCGCCGUGUAAAGCCUCUUCGACGAGUCGAGUUGUUUGGGAAUGCAGCUCUAAAUGGGAGGUAAAUUUCUUCUAAAGCUAAAUACUGGCCAGAGACCGAUAGCGCACAAGUAGAGUGAUCGAAAGAUGAAAAGCACUUUGGAAAGAGAGUCAAAUAGCACGUGAAAUUGUUAAAAGGGAAGCGCUUGCAGCCAGACUUGCCCGUAGUUGCUCAUCCAGGCUUUUGCCUGGUGCACUCUUCUAUGGGCAGGCCAGCAUCAGUUUGGGCGGUUGGAUAAAGGUCUCUGUCAUGUACCUCCUUUCGGGGAGGCCUUAUAGGGGAGACGACAUGCAACCAGCCUGGACUGAGGUCCGCGCAUUCGCUAGGAUGCUGGCGUAAUGGCUGUAAGCGGCCCGUCUUGAAACACGGACCAAGGAGUCUAACAUCUAUGCGAGUGUUUGGGUGUCAAGCCCGAACGCGCAAUGAAAGUGAACGGAGGUGGGAACCCUUAAGGGUGCACCAUCGACCGAUCCUGAUGUCUUCGGAAGGAUUUGAGUAAGAGCAUAGCUGUUGGGACCCGAAAGAUGGUGAACUAUGCUUGAAUAGGGUGAAGCCAGAGGAAACUCUGGUGGAGGCUCGCAGCGGUUCUGACGUGCAAAUCGAUCGUCAAAUUUGGGCAUA